rnacentral:lncRNA from 1 species
ACAUGUAAGUUUAUCAUGAUUAUAUUAUUAUUGUAUCUUUAGUCUUGAAUUAUACAUGUAACCAAUUGAUAAAUUAAUAUUCAAACACAAUGUAACAUCUUAUAGCAAAAUUGUUGUAAAAAAAGUUGAUAUUCUUUACUAUAAUAAAUCAUUUCAGAAACUAGAGAUGUUUGAAUUAACCAGGUAAAGUUUAUUUGUCAGUAAAAAAAGGAUUAUUUAUGUUUGAGCUGUUACAUUUCUUUUAUGAAUUUAUAAAUCAUUAUUAACUUAACAUCCCUUUACAUAUGAGUAUUUGUUCUAAAAUGUUUUGAAAUUGCAAAACUCAAUUAAAGUAAACCGACCUUAUAUUAGCAAAUCAAAUUAAAUUAUACUUUUGGAACAUAUAAAAAGAUGAAUAUGCACUUAACAUACGCAGAUUGAAGUUAGUAAUAUGAAAACACAUAUUUUUAUUUGAUACCCAGGUUAGUGUUGGGUCCUGGCAAACACAUUCUGUUCACCUAUUGUUGAAUUUCAACAUCAUUUGGUCUCUGAUUGAGAAUUCUAAUUGGCAAUUAUACUAUAUUUUCACAUAUUGUUAUAUGUAUUGAAAAAAACAUUAGUUCAAUAUAAAACAGAACUAUUUACUUUCUUUUUAUGCCCCACCUACAAUAGUAGUAGAGCAUCGAUUCCUGUUUUCUGGUCUUUGCAUCCGUCCAUUCGUCCAUCUGUCCUGCUUCAGGUUAAAGUUAUUGGUCAAUGUAGUUUUUGAUGAAGUUGAAGUCCAAUCAACUUGAAACUUACAUUUUUUACCCCAGCUUUCACAGUCCACGGAACAUAGAAAAUGAUAGUGCAAGUGGGGCAUCCAUGACCUGUGGAUACAUUCUUGUUCAAAUUAUUUUGCACGUGUGGUUUACAUAUAGAUAAAAUAUGUUUUAAUGUUGAUAUUUAAUUAUGUUUACACAUAGCUUGUCUUUGCUGUUAAAGCUAUUUGAAAUUUUUAUUUCAAUUCAUUUGCGGAUUAUGUUAAUUUUAAUGAUUAUAACAAUGAGAUGUUGAAUAUCAUCUCGCCAACAGUCAAUUCCCUUGUAUGUAAAGGAUCCCUAAUUAUAGAACUAUUUGAAUAUUAACUAAUCACCAGUAAAAUAAGUGAUAAUUUCAUGUAAAUAAUUUCAAUUAAAACUUUAUUUAUAUAUAUAUAUAUAUAUAUAUAUAUAUUAUAUAUAUAUAUAUGAUUUGAAUUUAAUAUGAAUUGUAUAUUAUUCAGGACUAACAGAUGGACUUGUUAGUUUUAGGCUGGAGUAAGAGUACUGGUAACUUAUGAUACACAUGUACAUCAUAUUAAAAUUUGACUUUAUCAUGUUGAUAUAGUCAUAUCAUAUCAUGAUUCUGAACGAGAUGGAAAGAAACAUUAAACAUUUCUACUGGACUUUGUGGUUUGUUAAUGAUACAAGAGAUCAAGUCUUGUUGGGAUAAUUAAACAUGCAGUUUGUUUUUUGUUCCUUAUAAGCAUAUAGUAAAAUUAAUGCUUACAGGAAACUACAGCAUGUGCUAUAUGUGAUUUAUUUGAUAGUUAACAACAAUUUUGAAUUGUGUUAGAGGCUUUGGAAAAAUUGAUAAACUCACAAAUGACUAUGGGUCAUUAGGAGUACUGUAUGCAGAGGUCUAUAAGUUUAUUGGACGUAAAGGAUCAUUUGGAAGUAUUGGAUGCAGAGGAUUAUUGGGAGUAUUGGAUGCAGACAAAGAUGUACAAUUAACAUUUAAUAAAUAACAAAAGAGUUAGACGAAUAUUGGUGUAUUUGUUGCCCUUGAGUUAAAAAACUUAAACAGUAUAGGGUUGAAAAGAUUUAUUAUGUCAUUUAUAUAAAUAUAAUGUUUGUGUUAUAAGGAUGCCUUGUAAUUUGAAAAAGAUAUGUUUUAUGAAAAAUUAAAAGACAUAUUGCUUUGAUGGUUUAUAUGGUUAUAUGUGUGAUGGAACAAAAUCCAUUGAUAAACUACAAUGAGCAAUUAAUUUGACUUAUAAUUUAACCAUUAAGAAAACAACA